rnacentral:rRNA from 1 species
UACGGAGGGGACUAGCGUUGUUCGGAAUUACUGGGCGUAAAGCGCACGUAGGCGGAUUUGUAAGUCAGGGGUGAAAUCCCGGGGCUCAACCUCGGAACUGCCUUUGAUACUGCAAAUCUCGAGUCCGGAAGAGGUGAGUGGAAUUCCUAGUGUAGAGGUGAAAUUCGUAGAUAUUAGGAAGAACACCAGUGGCGGAGGCGGCUCACUGGUCCGGUACUGACGCUGAGGUGCGAAAGCGUGGGGAGCAAACAGG